rnacentral:piRNA from 1 species
UCCUAGGUGUCUGGGCUACCCAGUCUCUG